GUGUGCAUUCCCUUUUUAUUCUCUAUGUACUGCCUAUUGCAUUCGGUAGAUGAAACUACCGAACCGGGACCACCCUCUGGCUCAUUAAACAUCAAAGAUUUAGGUGAAAUUGCUACCUCUGUCUGUGUGGCCAGCAUUCGUUAGUCGAACGCCACGUGGCAGAGAAAACCGCGGCCAUCUUUGUUCAUGCGAACAAAGGCAGCGGGACCUGGUCGUCGAGUGCAUGGAACUGUUUUACGGACACUCGACUUCCCGAACACCGGUCCCAAACAGACGAACGC